rnacentral:rRNA from 1 species
CCCUUCCGUAGGUGACCUGCGGAAGGAUCAUUA